AUAUUCCUGAGGUGUUCGUUAAAUCUCUUUAAUUCAACCGACAUAAUUAAUAUGGGAGUUCGGAGUCUAGUAAUGUAUGGUAAGCCUCACACAGAGGACAUCAGAACUUAUUAGCAGGACACCCACCUGCGAGUGUAGCGGGUAUGAAUUAAUGAGCAUAACGGCAUCAUGGGUAAACC
rnacentral:other from 1 species